rnacentral:tRNA from 1 species
GAGGGUAUAGCUCAGUGGUAGAGCACUGUGCUUAGCAUCACAAGGUCCUGGGUUCAAUCCCCACUAUCUCCA